rnacentral:lncRNA from 1 species
AGGAAAUGCCACCCCAAAAUGUGUGGCUUUGGUAUAUGGAUUUCUUUGAACUGAAGGAACCUCAGAGAAGGGUUCUGCCUCCUCCUUUCUACCUGGAAUCAAGUCAUAAAAUUUCCCAUGAGAAAGGUUCCCUCGCCAUUCCAGGAAGAGAGAGCAUUCUCAAAGGACACUGGUGGUUGAUGCUGAAUGUACAAAAAAGCUUAAGAAAAUCCUUCUCAUCUCACAUGAGUUUCCCACAUUUAAUUCGUCAUCACUGCCUCACAACUGGCUGCCCUGAUCCCAGCUCUUUGCCUUGGGUACAAGGGUGUAUGAGGUGUGGCGUCUAAUGGCUUCUUUGGAUCUUUGUGCUCUGUCUGAAGAUGCCCUCGUAGAUGGAAAGAUGAGGAGUGUGCGUGCUUCUCUCCUUGAACCUACGUCAGUUUAAUUCUUGGGCCAGCUGCAAAACCCAAGCAGCUAGAAGGAAUUUUCCUCUCCCCUACGUGGGUAAGCAAGGCAGAAAUCGUGAGAGAGCUGAAAAGUAGAAGCAAUGCUCAGAAGGUUUUCUCCUUUAUAAAUGAAUAAAACGAGAGUACUUGAAGCAAGAAACAAAAGGCUCCUUACAGAAAACCUGACUCCUCCAAAGGAAAGGCUUCACGUAGAAAAUGAAAACCGUUGUUUGUCUUCCUAAUAGCUGCCAUUCUGACUGGAGUGAGAUGACAUCUUAGAGUGGUUCUGAUUUGCAUUUCUCUAAUGGCUAGAGAUGAUGGACAUUUUUUCAUAUAUUUGCUGAUUGAUUGUAUAUUCUCUUCUGAAAAGUGUCUGUCAGUUCCUUGGUCCAUUUAUUGAUUGGGUUAUUUGGUUUUUUGGUGUUUCGCUUUUUGAGUUCUUUAUAUAUCCUAGAAACUAGUGCUCUCUCUGAUGUUUGAGGGGUAAAAACAACAAUAAGUGUUGGCGAGGAUGUGGGGGAAAAGGCACACUCAUACACUGCUGGUGGGACUGCAAAUUGGUGCAGCUGAUAGGGAAAGCAGUGUGGAGAUUCCUUGGAAAUCUGGGAAUGGAAUCACCAUUUGACCCAGCAAUCGCAUUCCUCUGUCUAUACCCAAGACUUAAAAACAGCAUACUACAGGGACACAGCCACAUCAAUGUUUAUAGCAGCACAGUUCACAAUAGCUAAACUGUGGAGCCAACCUAGAUGCCCUUCAGUAGAAGAAUGGAUAAAAAAUAUGGCAUUUAUACACAAUGGACUGUUACUCAUCAAUAAAAGAAUAAAAUCAUGGCAUUUGCAGGUAAAUAGAUGGAGUUAGAGAAGAUAAUGCUAAGAGAAGUUAGCCAAUCCCAAAAAACCAAAUGCUGAAUAUUUUCUCUGAUAUAAGGAGGCUGAUUCAUAG